AGAGUUUGAUCAUGGCUCAGAUUGAACGCUGGCGGAAUGCUUUACACAUGCAAGUCGAACGGCAGCACGGACUUCGGUCUGGUGGCGAGUGGCGAACGGGUGAGUAAUACAUCGGAACGUGCCCAGUCGUGGGGGAUAACGUAGCGAAAGCUACGCUAAUACCGCAUACGAUCUAAGGAUGAAAGCGGGGGAUCGCAAGACCUCGCGCGAUUGGAGCGGCCGAUGGCAGAUUAGGUAGUUGGUGGGGUAAAGGCUCACCAAGCCGACGAUCUGUAGCUGGUCUGAGAGGACGACCAGCCACACUGGAACUGAGACACGGUCCAGACUCCUACGGGAGGCAGCAGUGGGGAAUUUUGGACAAUGGGCGCAAGCCUGAUCCAGCCAUUCCGCGUGCAGGAUGAAGGCCCUCGGGUUGUAAACUGCUUUUGUACGGAACGAAAAGGCUCUGGUUAAUACCUGGGGCUCAUGACGGUACCGUAAGAAUAAGCACCGGCUAACUACGUGCCAGCAGCCGCGGUAAUACGUAGGGUGCAAGCGUUAAUCGGAAUUACUGGGCGUAAAGCGUGCGCAGGCGGUGAUGUAAGACAGAGGUGAAAUCCCCGGGCUCAACCUGGGAACUGCCUUUGUGACUGCAUCGCUGGAGUACGGCAGAGGGGGAUGGAAUUCCGCGUGUAGCAGUGAAAUGCGUAGAUAUGCGGAGGAACACCGAUGGCGAAGGCAAUCCCCUGGGCCUGUACUGACGCUCAUGCACGAAAGCGUGGGGAGCAAACAGGAUUAGAUACCCUGGUAGUCCACGCCCU
rnacentral:rRNA from 1 species